ACGAACGCUGGCGGCGUGCCUAAUACAUGCAAGUCGAGCGAAGUUUUUCUGGUGCUUGCACUAGAAAAACUUAGCGGCGAACGGGUGAGUAACACGUAAAGAACCUGCCUCAUAGACUGGGACAACUAUUGGAAACGAUAGCUAAUACCGGAUAACAGCAUUAACUGCAUGGUUGAUGUUUAAAAGUUGGUUUUGCUAACACUAUGAGAUGGCUUUGCGGUGCAUUAGCUAGUUGGUGGGGUAAAGGCCUACCAAGGCGACGAUGCAUAGCCGACCUGAGAGGGUGAUCGGCCACACUGGGACUGAGACACGGCCCAGACUCCUACGGGAGGCAGCAGUAGGGAAUCUUCCGCAAAGGGCGAAAGCCUGACGGAGCAACGCCGCGUGAGUGAAGAAGGAUUUCGGUUCGUAAAGCUCUGUUGUUAGGGAAGAAUGAUUGUGUAGUAACUAUACACAGUAGAGACGGUACCUAACCAGAAAGCCACGGCUAACUACGUG
rnacentral:rRNA from 1 species